rnacentral:rRNA from 1 species
UACAGAGGUCUCAAGCGUUGUUCGGAUUCAUUGGGCGUAAAGGGUGCGUAGGUGGCGCGCUAAGUCAGGUGUGAAAUUUCGGAGCUUAACUCCGAAACUGCAUUUGAUACUGGCGUGCUUGAGGACUGGAGAGGAGACUGGAAUUCCUGGUGUAGCGGUGAAAUGCGCAGAUAUCAGGAGGAACACCGGUGGCGAAGGCGGAUCUCUGGGCCUGUCCUGACGCUCAGGCGCGAAAGCUAGGGGAGCAAACAGG